AAAACUAUGAAAAAUUAAGUUAUACAAGAUGAUAAAGCAUAAAAGCAAUAAAGAACAUAAUGGAUUGUUAAUCCAGUUCAAUGAAACCACACCUACGUCUGGGGGUGGCACUCUACCCAGGAAAUAAAAUCAACUAUCUUGAAUUAGUACUACUAGUCUUAUAUGAACAACUACCCCAUGUUGUUCAAAGCCUCUUCCUAAUCCUAAUGACUUUCUAAUUAGAACCCCUUAAAUAUAAG
rnacentral:lncRNA from 1 species